rnacentral:rRNA from 1 species
CUACGGGUUGCUGCAGUGAGGAAUAUUGCACAAUGGGGGGAACCCUGAUGCAGCAACGCCGCGUGGAGGAUGACGCAUUUCGGUGUGUAAACUCCUUCUAUAUGUCAAGAAAAUGACGGUAGCACAUGAAUAAGCACCGGCUAACUCCGUGCCAGCAGCCGCGGUAAUACGGAGGGUGCAAGCGUUACUCGGAAUCACUGGGCGUAAAGGACGCGUAGGCGGGUUGGAAAGUCAGGUGUGAAAUCCUACAGCUUAACUGUAGAACUGCACUUGAAACUUCUAAUCUAGAGUAUGGGAGGGGGAAAUGGAAUUAGUGGUGUAGGGGUAAAAUCCGUAGAUAUCACUAGGAAUACCUAAAGCGAAGGCGAUCUCCUGGAACAUUACUGACGCUAAGGCGUGAAAGCGUGGGGAGCAAACAGGAUUAGAUACCCUUGUAGUC